GACGAACGCUGGCGGCGUGCCUAAUACAUGCAAGUAGAACGCUGAAGGAGGAGCUUGCUUCUCUGGAUGAGUUGCGAACGGGUGAGUAACGCGUAGGUAACCUGCCUGGUAGCGGGGGAUAACUAUUGGAAACGAUAGCUAAUACCGCAUAAUAGUAGAUGUUGCAUGACAUUUACUUAAAAGGUGCAAUUGCAUCACUACCAGAUGGACCUGCGUUGUAUUAGCUAGUUGGUGGGGUAACGGCUCACCAAGGCGACGAUACAUAGCCGACCUGAGAGGGUGAUCGGCCACACUGGGACUGAGACACGGCCCAGACGCCUACGGGAGGCAGCAGUAGGGAAUCUUCGGCAAUGGACGAAAGUCUGACCGAGCAACGCCGCGUGAGUGAAGAAGGUUGUCGGAUCGUAAAGCUCUGUUGUAAGAGAAGAACGAGUGUGAGAGUGGAAAGUUCACACUGUGACGGUAUCUUACCAGAAAGGGACGGCUAACUACGUG
rnacentral:rRNA from 1 species